rnacentral:rRNA from 1 species
UUUUGUUUCCACUCAAAGUGCCAAUCACCUGUGUCCAUCUGGCCACAGAAGUUAAACAGCAUUGGGCUUGGUUACUACUUAGAUAGGUGACCACCUGGAAAUCCCAGAUGUUUCCCAUU